UACGGGGGGGGCAAGCGUUUGUUCGGAAUUACUGGGCGUAAAGGGCUCGUAGGUGGCCAACUAAGUCAGACGUGAAAUCCCUCGGCUUAACCGGGGAACUGCGUCUGAUACUGGAUGGCUUGAGUUUGGGAGAGGGAUGCGGAAUUCCAGGUGUAGCGGUGAAAUGCGUAGAUAUCUGGAGGAACACCGGUGGCGAAGGCGGCAUCCUGGACCAACACUGACACUGAGGAGCGAAAGCCAGGGGAGCAAACGGG
rnacentral:rRNA from 1 species